AACGAACGCUGGCGGCAUGCCUAACACAUGCAAGUCGAACGAGACCUUCGGGUCUAGUGGCGCACGGGUGCGUAACGCGUGGGAACCUGCCCUUAGGUUCGGAAUAACUCCCCGAAAGGGGUGCUAAUACCGGAUAAUGUCUUCGGACCAAAGAUUUAUCGCCUUUGGAUGGGCCCGCGUUGGAUUAGCUAGUUGGUAGGGUAAAAGCCUACCAAGGCGACGAUCCAUAGCUGGUCUGAGAGGAUGAUCAGCCACACUGGGACUGAGACACGGCCCAGACUCCUACGGGAGGCAGCAGUGGGGAAUAUUGGACAAUGGGCGAAAGCCUGAUCCAGCAAUGCCGCGUGAGUGAUGAAGGCCUUAGGGUUGUAAAGCUCUUUUACCCGGGAUGAUAAUGACGGUACCGGGAGAAUAAGCCCCGGCUAACUCCGUG
rnacentral:rRNA from 1 species